rnacentral:rRNA from 1 species
CUGCGAUAAGCCUUGGGUAGCCGCAAAUAGGCUGAGAUCCAGGGAUUUCCGAAUGAGGAAACUCACAUGGGUAACCCCAUGUAUCAUGCACUGAAUACAUAGGUGUAUGAGGGUAAACCCGGGGAACGGAAACAUCUAAGUACCCGGAGGAAGAGAAAGAAAAAUCGAUUUCCUAAGUAGCGGCGAGCGAACGGGAAAGAGCCCAAACCAGAAACUUGUUUCUGGGGUUGUGGAUAGAUCAU